UACGUAGGGGGCAAGCGUUGUCCGGAAUCAUUGGGCGUAAAGCGCGUGUAGGCGGCCCGGUAAGUCCGCUGUGAAAGUCGGGGGCUCAACCCUCGGAUGCCGGUGGAUACUGUCGGGCUAGAGUGCGGGAGAGGCGAGUGGAAUUCCUGGUGUAGCGGUGAAAUGCGCAGAUAUCGGGAAGAACACCGGUGGCGAAGGCGGUUCUCUGGGCCUUACCUGACACUGAGGAGCGAAAGCGUGGGGAGCGAACAGG
rnacentral:rRNA from 1 species